rnacentral:rRNA from 1 species
AUUGAACGCUGGCGGCAUGCUUUACACAUGCAAGUCGAACGGUAACGCGGGGGCAACCCUGCGACGAGUGGCGAACGGGUGAGUAAUACAUCGGAACAUGUCCUGGAGUGGGGGAUAGCUCGGCGAAAGCCGGAUUAAUACCGCAUACGCUCUGAGGAGGAAAGCGGGGGACCUGGUAACGGGCCUCGCGCUGCGGGAGUGGCCGAUGUCGGAUUAGCUAGUUGGUGAGGUAAGGCUCACCAAGGCGACGAUCCGUAGCUGGUCUGAGAGGAUGAUCAGCCACACUGGGACUGAGACA